rnacentral:sRNA from 1 species
UAAAUAAAUUAAAUAACGACCCACAAACCAAAAAUUUACAAGGUAAAGACCCGUUUUCGGUGGGCUGGUUUCUUAGCCGAUCAUGUGUUCGCUGGGUCCGUGGUUUCGCGUAUCGAUUUGAUGGGGAGUUUUAUCUCAGUCUUAUCGUGCGCCUUAUUUCCGGAUAUCACAAAAAGUUUUACAAGGUGAAAACAUAUAUAAUCUAA